UAUAGAAUGCACUGGCCAGAA
rnacentral:piRNA from 1 species